AUAGGAAUAGGAUUAGGAGCUUGAGAUAAUGGCUCUAUCCUCGAGACUUCACCAAAUCUAGAGGUCGCGGUUCUUCUUCGGAGGGAGUACUCACCGUUCUUUGAGAAAUUCGCUUCUGAAGUCUUUUUUAAAAAUGGACAUUUCAUCUCCUUCUCUUUUACGGGUGCCAGUAAUAUUUGACAUCCCCUGUAUUUGAGCAUUAUUCAACUACCUGACAAAAAAUAUUUGCCUUGAACUAAACGGCCUUUUUACUUCUUUGCAUGACCGGGGGCCAUACUGAUCACCUACGGACUUUAUGCUUUUGGCACAACAAUCUAUCUAUGCCCAAUGAUUGCUCACCCAAUUCAUGGCAGGCUUCGCAUCAUAAGAUCCAAGAGAGGCCAAACACAAAUUGGCUCGCUCAAAGAAAAUUGCUUUCAAUUCUGCCUCAAUCAGGCCCCCCUUCAAAUUUAAUCAAUUCAACCCCUGAAAUCACUACUGAAAAUAGGACGAGGCUCGUAUAAAGCCCACUGAGUUUCUCCAAUGAGUGAAUCCCGUUUAAUAAGAGGGCAAUUCCGGGCAUUAGGAUCAACAUUCAUAUGUGCCUCCUGAGAUAUGUAGACGAACUGUCGUGUUUCUGAAGACGUCGUGGAGAGUACAUGUUACCGGUCAGAUCGCUGAAUUUACCAUAACAUGAGAGUAUAUUUCAUCUUUGCUAGAAUUAUAAUGAUCUUGCGGAGUCCCUGUUCAAUGGCAUAAUAGUCAAUCUAGGGUUUGAAUCUCGGAGGGGUUUUUAUUGAUAUCAUUGUUGGAGUGUGUUUGAAGAGAGAAAUGGGUAAUCUAUUUACAAAGAAGCCCAAGGUAACAGAUGUCGACAAGGCAAUAUUGUCUCUUAAAACUCAAAGGAGAAAGCUUGCGCAAUAUCAGCAUCAGCUUGAGGCAGUGAUUGAAAAAGAAAAACAAGUGGCUCGAGAUUUGCUAAGAGAAAAAAAGAAAGAGCGAGCAUUAAUUGCAUUAAGGAAGAAAAAGACUCAGGAAGAGCUUUUGAAGCAAGUUGAUACCUGGCUCAUUAAUGUUGAGCAACAGCUAGCAGACAUAGAACUAGCAAGCAAGCAGAAGGCUGUAUUUGAGAGUUUGAAGACAGGAAACAAUGCUAUUAAAGCCAUUCAAAGUGAGAUCAACUUGGAUGAUGUUCAAAAACUUAUGGAUGAUACAGCUGAGGCUAAAGCAUACCAAGAUGAGAUUAAUGCUGUACUCGGAGAACGUCUUUCUGCUGAAGACGAAGAAGAAGUAUUGGCUGAAUUUGAGAAUUUGGAAGUAGAGAUGGCUCUUCAGGGUCUACCAUCUGUGCCAGACACAAGCAUAGAUUUAGCAGAAAAAGAAAAGACCAAAGCUCCAUCCAAGAAGAUAGCAGCAAAGGGAGCCAUAAAGGAGGCUGUGGAGGAGCCUCGAAGGAAUCAAGUGGACACUGAAAAAUUAUCAGGCAACAGCUUGGAUGUUGAUGCUAUUACAACAGAUGAACAUGAUGAAAUAUUGAAUCUUCCUGAUGUUCCAACAAAGGUGCCAAUAUCUCUUGCUUCCAAUGAAGCAAAUGCAAAAAAGCGAGAAGAGCCUUUACUGGCAUAAUUGGGAUUAUGUCAUGCUAUUGGAAUAUAAUAGAGGAUAUAAGCUACAAUUCACAUGGGAAUCAUCUUAAUCCAUUCCAUUCAAUCAUACUUAGCAACCUCUGUGUUGACAGUCUUAAUUAUAAUCAACAAUGUUGUCAGUUGUCUGAAGACAUGAGGAGGAAGGUAUCCAUCAAUGCUAAAGAGACCCUAAUGUUCAUGGAAGACCUAAGGAAAAAGGCAAGAAGAAUGAGAAAUGUGAAAAAUCCAAGUCCAAGGAGAGAUCCAAAUUUCUUCGAAAAUCUAAAGUUAUUUGUUAGAAUUGCAGUUAGCCUGGACACUUUCAUAAGAAGUGCAAACAUGAAAAGCUGAAAAACAAGAAAUUUGAUUAUACUUCUAAGUCUGAGAAAGAAUAUUGCGAUGCGUUUAUUGCAACUUUGGCCACUCGUGUAGGUACUAAUGCAUGUUAAUUGACUCAAAUGCAUCUGACCUUUAAUAGAUAUUGGUUUUUUG